rnacentral:rRNA from 1 species
ACGCGUUAAAUCGACCGCCUGGGGAGUACGGCCGCAAGGUUAAAACUCAAAUGAAUUGACGGGGGCCCGCACAAGCGGUGGAGCAUGUGGUUUAAUUCGAUGCAACGCGAAGAACCUUACCUGGUCUUGACAUCCACAGAACUUAGCAGAGAUGCUUUGGUGCCUUCGGGAACUGUGAGACAGGUGCUGCAUGGCUGUCGUCAGCUCGUGUUGUGAAAUGUUGGGUUAAGUCCCGCAACGAGCGCAACCCUUAUCCUUUGUUGCCAGCGGUUCGGCCGGGAACUCAAAGGAGACUGCCAGUGAUAAACUGGAGGAAGGUGGGGAUGACGUCAAGUCAUCAUGGCCCUUACGACCAGGGCUACACACGUGCUACAAUGGCAUAUACAAAGAGAAGCGACCUCGCGAGAGCAAGCGGACCUCAUAAAGUAUGUCGUAGUCCGGAUUGGAGUCUGCAACUCGACUCCAUGAAGUCGGAAUCGCUAGUAAUCGUAGAUCAGAAUGCUACGGUGAAUACGUUCCCGGGCCUUGUACACACCGCCCGUCACACCAUGGGAGUGGGUUGCAAAAGAAGUAGGUAGCUUAACCUUCGGGAGGGCGCUUACCACUU